rnacentral:rRNA from 1 species
UACGUAGGGUGCAAGCGUUGUCCGGAAUUAUUGGGCGUAAAGAGCUCGUAGGCGGUUUGUCGCGUCUGCUGUGAAAUCCCGAGGCUCAACCUCGGGCUUGCAGUGGGUACGGGCAGACUAGAGUGCGGUAGGGGAGAUUGGAAUUCCUGGUGUAGCGGUGGAAUGCGCAGAUAUCAGGAGGAACACCGAUGGCGAAGGCAGAUCUCUGGGCCGUAACUGACGCUGAGGAGCGAAAGCAUGGGGAGCGAACAGGG